GUGGGGAAUAUUGGGCAAUGGGGGAAACCCUGACCCAGCGACGCCGCGUGAGGGAAGAAGGCCUUAGGGUCGUAAACCUCUGUUGUGUGGGAAGAAGAGCGUGACGGUACCACACGAGGAAGUCCCGGCUAACUACGUGCCAGCAGCCGCGGUAAUACGUAGGGGACGAGCGUUGUCCGGAUUUACUGGGCGUAAAGGGCGCGUAGGCGGUCAUUUAAGUCAGCUGUGAAAUGGUUUGGCUUAACCGGAUCAUGCGGUUGAAACUGGAUGACUGGAGUGCUGGAGAGGCAAGUGGAAUUCCCAGUGUAGCGGUGAAAUGCGUAGAUAUUGGGAAGAACACCGGUGGCGAAGGCGACUUGCUGGCCAGUAACUGACGCUGAGGCGCGAAAGCCAGGGGAGCAAACGGGAUUAGAAACCCCGGUAGUCC
rnacentral:rRNA from 1 species